GGAAACAGCUCAGUGGCAGAGCACAUGCUUAGCAUGCAGGAGGUCCUGGGUUCAAUCCCCAGUGCCUCCA
rnacentral:tRNA from 1 species